rnacentral:rRNA from 1 species
AGUGGCGGACGGGCGAGUAAUGCGUGAGCAACCUGCCGAAAAGUGGGGGAUAACAGCUGGAAACAGCUGCUAAUACCGCAUAAUAUACAUAUUUCGCAUGGAAGAUGUAUUAAAGGAGUAAUUCGCUUUUUGAUGGGCUCACGUCCGAUUAGUUUGUUGGUGAGGUAAUGGCUCACCAAGACCGCGAUCGGUAGCCGGGCUGAGAGGCUGAACGGCCACAUUGGGACUGAGACACGGCCCAAACUCCUACGGGAGGCAGCAGUGGGGGAUAUUGCACAAUGGAGGAAACUCUGAUGCAGCAACGCCGCGUGAGGGAUGAAGGUUUUCGGAUUGUAAACCUCUGUCCUCGGGGAAGAAUUCUGACGGUACCCGGGGAGGAAACUCCGGCUAACUACGUGCCAGCAGCCGCGGUAAUACGUAGGGAGUAAGCGUUGUCCGGAUUUAUUGGGUGUAAAGGGUGCGUAGGCGGCUUUGCAAGUCAGGCGUGUAAUUCAGAGGCUUAACCUCUGAACUGCGCUUGAAACUGCUUGGCUUGAGUGAAGUAGAGGCAGAUGGAAUUUCCAGUGUAGCGGUAAAAUGCAUAGAUAUUGGAAGGAACACCGGUGGCGAAGGCGAUCUGCUGGGCUUUAACUGACGCUGAGGCACGAAAGUGUGGGGAGCAAACAGGAUUAGAUACCCUGGUAGUCCACACU